rnacentral:rRNA from 1 species
CCUACGGGUGACAGCAGUAGGGAAUCUUCCACAAUGGGCGAAAGCCUGAUGGAGCAACGCCGCGUGGGUGAAGAAGGUCUUCGGAUCGUAAAACCCUGUUGUUAGAGAAGAAAGUGCCUGAGAGUAACUGUUCACGUUUCGGCGGUAUCUAACCAGAAAGCCACGGCUAACUACGUGCCAGCAGCCGCGGUAAUACGUAGGUGGCAAGCGUUAUCCGGAUUUAUUGGGCGUAAAGGGAACGCAGGCGGUCUUUUAAGUCUGAUGUGAAAGCCUUCGGCUUAACCGGAGUAGUGCAUUGGAAACUGGGAGACUGGAGUGCAGAAGAGGUGAGUGGAACGCCAUGUGUAGCGGUGAAAUGCGUAGAUAUAUGGAAGAACACCAGUGGCGAAGGCGGCUCACUGGUCUGUAACUGACGCUGAGGUUCGAAAGCGUGGGUAUCGAACAGGAUUAGAUACCCUGGUAGUC